UGCUAUGGUAUGCACAAGUGUCUCCUCACUGAAAUCGCAUAUCAGAUUCCGACACUGUAAUGAACGUCCUUUCCAUUGUCACCUCUGUGACAAGGGUUUUAAGAACGCGUAUGAUCUGCAUAAACAUGUUGAAACACACAAUGAUUCAGAUGCCUACAGCUGUGAUGUUGAAGGAUGUGGUUUUACUUCAUGGACUUUACAAACUUUGAGACAGCAUUACAAGAGAGCACAUGUAAGUAAUGGCACUCUGAAAUGUAAAUGCCACAUCUGUCAGAAAGGUUUCUCCUGGAGUUAUAUAUUGACCCUACAUCUUCGAAAAGCUCAUAAACUCAGCAGUCAUUCUCAUUUCAGGUAUGUUGCCAGUUGAUUCUUGUUCAGAUCAUAAUUUUUUUAAAAAAGAUGUUUUG